rnacentral:tRNA from 1 species
CGCCAGAUAGCUCACGCAGACGAGCGCCCGGUUGAAACCCGGGAGACGGAGGUGCGAUCCCUUCUCUGGCGGCGA